UACAGAGGGGGCAAGCGUUGUUCGGAAUUACUGGGCGUAAAGAGCUCGUAGGCGGUCUGUCGCGUCUGCUGUGAAAUCCCGAGGCUCAACCUCGGGCCUGCAGUGGGUACGGGCAGACUAGAGUGCGGUAGGGGAGAUUGGAAUUCCUGGUGUAGCGGUGGAAUGCGCAGAUAUCAGGAGGAACACCGAUGGCGAAGGCAGAUCUCUGGGCCGUAACUGACGCUGAGGAGCGAAAGCGUGGGGAGCGAACAGG
rnacentral:rRNA from 1 species